rnacentral:lncRNA from 13 species
GAGAGAGUGCGCGGAAGUGAAAGAAGAAAGAAAAGUGGAGUCUGAAGGAGACAUGCAGUUGUGAGGUAUUCUACAGAAUAAAUUGGCAGUGACUGUGCAGCUGUAGAUGAAAACAUCACGCGGUGUUGACAAGAUCCUCCUAAGAAUCAUUUGAUGAGAAGCCAAACCUUACAAAAGAGGAUUCCUUAAUCCCUCUUAUGGAGCGGCCUUUCUUGCUUUAUCAGUUCUGGAAGCUGGGAAGUUCAAAUUCGAGGGGCCAGGUCUGGUGAGGUUCUUCUUGCUGUGUCAUCCCAUGGCGGAAGAGUGGAAGGGCAGGUGAGCAUAAGCAUGCAAGCAAGACAGGAAGGGGCAGCCCCUCCUUGUGAUAACAAACGCAUCUCCACCGCAAUAGCCUCAAUCUUUCAGGGGGCUAGAUGCCUCAUGACAUGAUCACCUCUUAACGGACUUACCUCUCAACACUGCUGUGUUAGAGAUUAGGUUUGCAACAAGGAACUUUGGGGGACACAUUCAAACCAUAGCAGUAUGUAGUUUUAUUUUAUUUUUACCUAAAUAGGAUAAGGCAUAAAUUAAAAUAAAUGAAUUAAUGAAAGAACUGAUCA